AAUUAAUAACCCUACAGGGCCUCUAAGUGUUCCAGUGAAAGGAAAAGUCACAUGUUUCUCACUUUAAAUCAAAAGCUAGAAAUGAUUAAGCCUAGUGAGGAAGGCAUGUCCAAAGUGGAGAUAGA